ensembl:lncRNA
AUGUUCAACAAUAGGAAACGUAGUCUUAGCUGUUUUAUAAUUACACCAAGUUUAUUUCGGAUUAUUCCAAUACAAGGCGCAAGGAACUUUGAGGUGCGUAAACGGCGUUUACGUGCGUUUACCCUCCACUACAGCCCUGAAUACAAUCAUUUCUACACUCGUCUACAACACGUUUUUCAGAAGGUUGUACUCUGUUCUACAGGACAUCUGAAGGAAACGGUUACCUGUUGUUCAAAGGGCGACGACGGCAGUUGACCUACUUGCACACCAGGAAGAGACCUCGAGCCGACAUACUCGGUCCUCAUACAACGGUGAGAAACAGAAUGUUUUAUUCAAGUGGUGAUCACAAAACCGUUUUCACUGUUCAUCGAAUGUUUUGUCAAAUCAUAUCCUCAAGGUCCUUAAUAUACGGACCCUGUAGCUUUAUAUUAUGGUCACCAGCUUACAUUUGUUCACGUUUGAUAUCGCAAAUAAAUACAGCUCUAUGUGAAUGACUUCAUACCUGCUAGUGUGUUUUUUACUUCUUUGAACUCUCUCUCUGCUACUUCUUUGAGAAUUAAAACAUUCCUGUGGGUGUUGCCAUUGAUUAAAGGAAUUCC